UAUUCAUGUUUACAUUUGUACAUAUUUUGGUGUUAUUUACCACUGGAAAUUCAAUACUCAGCCAGAACUUGUUACAUGGUAACUUCAAUAAACACUUGAUUGAUUAGUAAUGAACAAAUUUCUUAUUUUCUGAGUCUGCUCAUCUGGAAACAUGGAUAACCUCCAAGGUCCUCAGGGACUCCUGGAAGCCUAGCCUUCUUCCUGCUUUUCCCAAGUUCUCUCCCUGGUUGUCAAGAGAAUCUCUCAUAGGUAAAAGAACAGAAACAGUGGCACAUGGUCUGUACAUUUACCAGAAAUGAUUCUUCACUAUAUUUCAGCAUACUUUGUGGUUUAAGAUAGGGCUCUCUGAUAUAGAAUGCAUAUCCCCCAUCAAGCAGAUUUUAAAAGGCCUCUAAUACACCGAUUUCACAGAGGGGUUAAUAAAAUGACCUUACUAAAACAGCUAAGGAAAUCAAUAAUUCAACUGACAAUAAACAAAAGUCUUUUCUCUUGAUACACAGAGUAAUUGAAUGGAUGGGAUAUAAAUGCUAUCAUUUUGUGAAUCUUUGAACUUAUACAUUGCAUCGGUUGAUUGUCUUAGUUUGGGCUGCUGUAAAAAGUACCAUAUACUGGGUAGUUUAUUAACAACAGAAAUUUACUUCUUAUAGUUUUAGAGGCUGAAAGUCUGAGAUUAAUAUGUCAGGUUAGGGUGAGGGCCCUCUUCCGGGUUGCUAACUUCUGGUUGUAUCCUCACAUGGCAGAAAAAGGCUGAGAAAAUUCCUUGGGGUCCAUCUUAUUAAAAAAAUCUCAUUAGUGAAGCUCCACCCUCAUGGCCUAAUUGGCUCCCCAAAAUCCCAGUUCCAUAACCAUCACAUUAGGCUUUAGAAUUUCAACAUAUGAAUUUGGGGUGGGGCGGGACACAAACAUUUAGUAUAUAUUGCACUGAUAUACUUUACUGUGAGCUGAACAAUGCAGAAAUCAAUUAUAAGAUGAAAUCUCGAAUGAAUAACAGAGAAAAAUGAAUUCUACAUAUUUCUAUUAUAUAGAAAUCAGGCAAUAGUAGAGCAAAUGCACAGUUUACCUGAAUUUUAUUCUAAGUAUCAUGAAAUCAGAAAGCAACUACAUAUAAAUAACCACUACUAUAUAUAAAUAACCACUACUAGUAAAAGCAAUUAACUGUUCAAAAUAAGCAUAGGCUAUUAGAUUGAAGUAUAGGUAACAGAAAAUGCUUACCAAUUCCUAUACCAUUUCUGUCUUUUGCUAGAAAUAUUAUUUUUGGAAGAGUUUUCCCUCAAGACAUUUUUCUAAUACUCAGCUACCGCAUUCAUAGCAGAAUCUAUAUAAAAAUACACUUUAAAAUUGCCUUAAACACUGCAAUACUUAAUCCAUUUUUAUCUCAAGCAGAUAGUUUUUGGAAUAUGAUGGAAAUAGAGGUAAAAAUAAAAAAACACACACACACACAACAAAAAGAAAAGAAAAGAAUGUGGAUCUGCAUUGGUCUAAAACUCGAGAUCUAUUUUCUUCUGUCAGUUUCACUCUUCUCCUCCAAUUUUCUGCGGGAAACCAGAAAUCUUAUUCUAGAUUUCUGCUAUGGUCUAAAUGUUUAUGUUCCCUCAAAAUUCAUAUGUUGAAAUCCUAAGCCCCAAGGUGAUGGCAUUAGGAGUAGGCCCUUUGGGAGGUGAAUAGAUCAUAAAUAGGAUUAGUACUCUUACAAAAGAGGCCCAAGGGAGCUUGUUUACUCCUUUCACUAUGUGAGGACACAGCCAGAAGGUGCCACCCAUGAGGAAUGGGCCCUCACCAGUCACUGAAUUCACCUUUAUGUUGGACUUCCCAGCCUUCAGAACUAUGAGAAAUACAUUUCUAUCAUUUAUAAGCCACCCAGUCUAUGGUGUUCUCUUACAGCAGCCCAUAUACACUGCUAUUUUUUGCUCGGGUAUUAUCUACAAUGACAUGAUCACAAAUGGGAAGUUGCUGAGGAGAUCAUUGGUCCUGCAUAGCCAAAAAUAUUUACUAUUUGGCCCUUUACAGGAAAAUUUUGCUGACCCAUGUUUAAAAGCAUGGACUUAGAAUAGACAGAUCUGGUUCAGGCCCAACUCUGUUGCUUACUAGCCUGUUACUUAAUCUAGAGACUGAAAUACUUAUCUCAUGAAGAGUAGUCUUUCUAUGAAUAAAUGAGAAGAUGCACACAGACCACCAUAGCAAUUACCUGAUGGAGAAUAACAUUAAAUAAACACUUUUUUUAAAGUUAGCUAAGAAUUUUAUUUCUAGUUGCUGUCUUCUCUAUGCCUCGGUUUACUUAUACAUGAAAUACAGAAAACACUAUAAAAUUUUUACCUUAGCUUGUGAUACAUUUUUCUCAUGACAUUAAAAAUUAGAAUACUUUUAAAAUUAUGCAUAUUGUUAGAAAUCCAUUCACCUAAUUAUCUAUAUUAGUUUGCUAGGGCUGUCAUAAAAAAUUACUACAAAUUAGGUGGUUCAAAACAACAGAAAUGCAUUGUCUUAUAGUUCUGGAGCCAGAAGAAAUCCAAAACCAAGGUUUUGGCAGGGUUGUUUCCUUCAGGAAGCUUGGAGGGGGAAUCCAUCCUAUGCCCAUUUCCCAGCCUGUAGUAGUUGCCAGCAAUUCUUGGUGUCCCUUGGCUCAUGGCAACAUAACUCCAAUCUCUGUCUCUGUCUUCACAUGGCCUUCUCUGUGUGUCAGACAUUCUUUUAAAUCAGGGCAUAUAUUUUUAAUAUUUGACUUACAUGUGCACAUAGACCAGCAAGAAGAGACUAGCCAAUUAUUCAGAAUAAAAAAAGAAAUUUAGAAAAACUUACAGAAUUUUAUAAAUCUAUUAUAGGCUCCUAUUGAAAGUGUUCCUAAGAACAUUAUCCUCUCCAACCUAGUCUGGCUCUACUGGUGCCCUUGAUAUUAUUCUCUGCUUUUCAAUAUCUUACCUCCAUUGCAUCUAUCAUAUUUAUUUCAUAUCCCUUUCUUCCUUCAGCUGUGUGCUGUUUCUUUUUUGUCUCUGCACUGUACCUGGUGAAGAAACUGAAGAGUCAGCUGGCACUCUCUGCAGGUUCCUGUCUGCAUGCCAAUACUUGUUGCUCUGUCCUAUUUAGAGGGCCUGAGUUCCUGAUGAGGAAAUGUGCUCUGCAGAAAGACCAGCACCAGUUUGGCAAUCACAGAGAGAAACACUUAUUUUCCCUGCUAAACAAAUAACUUAUUACUGAAAAACCACUAAGAACUGAGAUGAAGUCUGUUUACAAGAAAUGACAUGAAUCAUAAAAGUCUUAGCCAGGCUUAAACUAUUGUGUAUACAUACAUAGAAGCAUACACGAGCACACAAACUCCAGCUGCUUAUUUUUUCCUUUUCUUUUCCUUUGAAUAUGUCUUAAUUCCCUAGUAACCCCAAGUCAAGGAUUAAGUCAAGUAGGAUCUCAGUAAGAAUCUGAUCCAACCCUGUUUUGGACAGAAUUCACAGAAAGGCUUGAAGCUGGGGAAACAUGGCUUCCUACCAAGAACCAUCAGGGAGUGUUUGGUUUACAACCAUUUUAUUUUAUCUGGUUACCUCUCAAGAAAUGGGCCUUUGACUGGUUUGGGAAGAGGAUCUCAGUACUGGUUGUUUGCCUUAAAAUAUCAUGCAAAAUUUGUGUACUCACCUAAUGAUUUCUAAUUGAUAGUUACUCUUAACUUCCUCUUUGAAGCAGUAUGAUACAUACUAGAAAAGGAUGAACCCUACAACUGGCAAUCUGAAUACUUGGGUUUUAACCAUGUCUCUGCAAUAAGUGACCUUGGAAAGUAACCUAAUGUCAUAGGGCACAGGAUGAGAUUAUCUCUAAAUCUUUUUAUAGCUCUGAGUCAGUGAUUAAAUGAUCUGUGAGUUCCAGUUUUAUCCUUGUGAAACAUAAUUAUAAAUAGUCAAUCAUAUCCAUAUACUAGUUGCUUUGACAAUUUUAUAAAAAUGACUGGCAUCCAGAAUUGAUAAAACAUAGUCAUUUAUAAAAAUUUUUCUUAUUCCUUUGAAUGAUCAACAAGAAUUGUGAUUAAAUUUUUGGUGUUUUCUUAGUGUAUAGAGCACAUCUUUGUACAUAUCAACACUAAGAGAGAAGAUUGAGACAGGGAGGAGAGAAGAUUGAGAUAGGGCGGAAAUAUGAGUAAAGGAAGCUCUGGGUUUUGACUUUUUAAAAAAUUGAGGUCCAAAGGAAGCAGAGCUUUUAUUUUUUCUUCUUUCAUGGGUACAAAAAUAAAUACAAGAAAAUAGCAGAAUGGGGAAGAUAAAGAUUUUGGAGUCACAGAACUGGGUCCAAAUCCUUAAUUCACUACUUAACAUAUGUAUGAUUUUGCCCAGUUUAUGAGAUUAAGUUCUCUAAUUCUUAAAUGUUAGAAACAAAUACCAUGAGUGUAUGUGGUAAUGAUAAUGUAAAAUAACAUACACACAUUCCCUAGCAAGGGGCUAGUCAUCCUAGAUCAGUACUUCCCAAACUUAUCUAAAGUGCAAACAGAUCACCUGAGAUCUUGUGUAAGUCAGAUUUGAAUUCACUACUUCUGAGCUGGGGCCUGAGAGUCUGCAUUUCUAACAGUCUCGCAGAUAAUGCCAAAGCUCUGUGUAGCAUGGGUAAAGGCAUUUGAUUAAAAUGUAGAAUGCCUUUUGCCUUUAUCCUUCCAUUUCCAAGCAUAAGUACAUAUUUAUUUUGAAAUGAUAGAGGGGAAGGUUGGGUUUUUUUUUGUUUUUGUUUUUUCUCUCCCUGAUCAGUACCCCUCUUCUGUUCCAGUCAUCUGUCACCUAUAGUCAGGGCAAAGGACACCAACAGUGUAUCAUUUUCAAGUCAUAUUGUGUCAACUUGCUAGGACAAGUUCUCCAAACUUUCACAGAGCUCUGUGAUCCUUCCUUUAUUUUUUUUCAGCCAUCACCUCCAGUUCACAAAUGUUAGAUUUAUUUAUUAAAGUCUUCACCCUCUUUUCCACUAGAAAGGCAAGAUUUCCAGUGAAACUCUUUUCUUUCACUUGUUCCAAACUUCUGUUAAAAACAAAUAUAACAACGACAAAAAAAAAAAAAUCUUUCUCUUACAUAUCUGCAGGCUCAUGGCUUUACCAUUUUUGUGCUCUUCUAUUUCUCUAAAUGAUAGCAAAGGGCCUAGCAACCAUUUACUUGUCUUUCUAGUUCUUUCAGUCAAUAAUAGAUGAUAAUUUACUCUCCCUCUAUAUGAUUGGAGCAUAUUUUAAAUUAUCCAUUUAAGCUUGAUCUGUAAUUAAAAUUAUGUGGGCAUUUGUGACAUUAUUCUGCAAAAAUGUUCUGUGGGCUUUCUCUGAUCUAGCUCAUGGAGUCCAGGUGCAAAGCAGCAUAAAAACACUGAGGGAAAAAUCAACCCUAUCUUGGGUUCACACACCUUCCAUUUAUCUGCCAGCUCACAAGCAAAAUUCAUAGAUGUGUCUUUCCAGGAGAUUAAGUAUCUCCCAGAGUCAGCAGGAAAUCUGAACUGUUAUCUUAUUGCACUUAAGUAAAAGGCAGUCAGUCCUCUCUCUCUCUCUCUAUUCCAAUGUAUUUCAUGGGGCACAAGCACUGUUUUAUAAGCAAACAAAUAUAUGCCAUGUAAGAAGUCUAUUAUUAUUCAUGAAUACUCACUUACAUCCCCAUAAGAGGAUUACACAUUUAUACCCAUUUUUAAAUGAUGUGCAAGACCUUCUUCCUAUUGACAUUGGUGGUCAUUUGACUUGCUUUGGCCAAUAAAAUCGCAGAAGUGAUGUGCACCACAUCUUAGCACAGGCUCCAAGAACUACUAAUAGUUAUGUCUCAGGCUUUCCUUCUGCCAUGAGAAGAGCGUGAGCCAGGUAAAUGACAUGAACCUGACCCUAGAAUGAGGAAGACAUAUGGAACAGGAGCAAAACUGCAGUUGAACUGUCAACAUGAGCAAGAAAUAAAUUUUAUUGUUGGAGUCACUUAGACCUUGACAGUUAUAACAGAAUAACCUAGCAAAAGCUGAUCAAAUCAGUGCUUUUACCUACACAAAUGAUUUAAAGGAGAGGAGAACAAAGCCCUAAAUAAUAGAAAAGAAAACAAGCUAAAUAUCCAACUAAUUUCCUACAUUUUUAAAAGGCGAGAACUAAACAAUUACAUUCUUCCUUUUGCCUUAGCAAAUCUGUGCUAGGAAAGGCUUACUGAUUUCAUCAAGAUUCUAAUGCCACUUAAUUGAAAGUACCUGCUUUUCAAGUUGGAAUGAAAAUGAUGAUGAGGUAUUAGAUGAGGAAAAAAUCCAGAUCAUUAAGAUUUGUCAGGUGUGUGACAGGGUUAAUGGUAAUCAAUGUAAUAUAUUUGCUCUUCAUGUUUUAGAACCAGGAAAAAUACCAGGAAAUACCUGAAGAUUUAUGUCCAGUGUUUUAAAGAAGGAAAUAAGAUCUUUCUAGAUUCUAGGGCAAAUUCAUGCUUUCAAAUGGUUAUCAAAUAGUGAUACAAUAGGUAAUAGAGCAGAGUAAGUUCUACUAAGAAAGUUUAUUUUUCCUUUUCUCUGUCUAUUAUUAUUAUUAUUUUGCCCGAUAAUCUUUGCUGUUUAUUAAUGACAAUCUGAAUUAAACCCUCGGCACCUACAUUGUCAUUAGAAAGGUUUGGGCUACAGGGCAAGAUAAAGAACUUUAAUAAGUCAUUAUUAGCUGAUCUUCAUGCUUCCAUUUGAUUCCAGCCUACAUACCAGCAGUGGAAGAGAUUCAAAAAUGACCUCUAAAAAAGGAAUUGCAAUUGAGCCAAAAGUAUGGUGACUCAUAAGUUUUCUUUACAAAAAAAAAAAGAAAAAAACUCUAGCAAAAAGGCAAUUUAACAGUCUCCUACAUCUCAGUGAUUCAUGAAUGCUAUAUUUAUGCAUAUUCAUGAAAGAAAGAUCUUAAAAGAAUACUUUGUCACUUUUUUCUCCUUUUGAUGCAGGCAGAGCAGAUACUAAAAGGACACCUAAGCCAUCUGUUCAACUCCAAAAACUCUAGAACUCAACUUAUCUGGCCAUACAGGACUCUUGAAUGUUCAUGCUUUCAGGAUUUAUGGUUGUCUUUAGCUGUUUGAAUACCAAAAUGCAUGGAGAAACAAUGGUAUAAAAUACUUAGCACCCUAAACAUUUCCAUUUCAAAUGACUAUUUGUUUUAAUAGCUGUUUUAUUUUCAUGAUACAAAAUUUUAGAAUUAUCUCUUCAAAUUUGGCUUGAGAUUGGCAUUUCAUAAAUUCAAGUGAGUACAUAAUUUUAUACAGUUCAGCAAGUAUCAUCUACUUAUCCUUAAAGAGCAAAAUGCAAUAGAACUAGUGAAUGCCAAAAAAAAAUCCCUUUUAAGCAGCGUGAUCUCAUAGUUUAUCAUCCAAACUGUGGAAAUUUUUAGAGUAAAAGUAGGCCCUAUUAAAAUUAUAUGAGAAUUGUCUCAGGCAAACCUAGAUGUAUAAUAACAUGGGCUAUAGAAAAAAUUGAAAUUUGAAUGUUAAAUCAAAAUUAAUGAGACAUUGAUCUUUGUUAGAGGUUUGCUUUAAUCAUGUUUAUGAUAAGCUUCUUAAACUUCCUUGGUCUCCUUAUUGGCUAGCAGAAGGCUGGGACUGUCUAAUUGGUUUAGUGAGUUUGAUAGUUACCUCUUCUAAUAUCUGAUUUCAUGAUCAUGGUUAGGAUGUGCCAUGGACUUUAUGUACAUCAUAUUAUUUGGUCUUCAAUGCAACAUUAUGAAAUAGUUUCCCAAUUUUUCAGAACAUAAAAUUGAGUCUCAGAAACAGUAAAUAACUUGUCCAAAUUCAUGAGCAAGUGUGAAGUGGAGCCUGAUUGAAACCCAGUUCUACCUAGAUAUAAAAAGAUACAUUAUUUCUUAAAGUUCUUGAGAAUUUUUCCCUUUAGUCUUGCCUUUAGAGGGAUAGAAGGCAAACGCCAGGAAAAUCUUUCCUACUUCAGGGAAGACAAUGGAUAUGAAGCUUAUCCUUUAUAUAGUAUCACACUAUGUAAAGGAUAUCAUACAUAUCAUACAUCCUUUCUCAUUUAAUGGCUUUUAGAAUCUUGACUGGCCUUUUAAGAAAUGCAAAAUGAUCACUUUUGUGAGAUAUAAAAUGUUUAUUUGAGAGCUAAGUGUAAUUCUAAUCACCUUAACCAAAACCCAGUAUGACUCUAUUGGAAAGAAAAGGAAUCUGUACUCACACAAUUUGGAGUUGAAAUAUGCUGGGUGACUUUGGGAAAGUUGUUCUGCAUCUCAGAAUUCUAAUAUCCCAAUCUGGGAUAUUAGAUUAGAUAUUAGAUAGUAUUUUUCUUAGAAAAUUGACUUAAUGACAGUAAAUUGGAAAAAAUAUAUAUAAUGGAGAAUUACACAGGGCCUGGGUUAUAUUAAGGCCAUGCAUAAUGUUUUUUCUCCUGAUAGCACCAAAGGAUUUCAAUGUAGACAUUGGGAAGAGUAAGAAAUUUGAAGAAGAAAAUCUGAGUUUAAGUCCUAGCUACUUAUUAGCUUUUUAACUUUGAGAUAAUUUUUGAAGUUGAAAUUCCUCAUCUUUAAGUGGAAACUAUAAGAAUAGGUGUCUUUAAUAUCUCUCAGGAUCAUUGUCAGUUGCAAAUAAAAGGAACAAAAAAGUUCUUCAUGAAUGAUGCCUUUCAAAUAUAGUUAUUAUUCUGGUUAUGAUGAUGAUGAUGAUGAUCUGGACUAGUGACUAGGAAAAUAUCUGUGUAGUUGACAAUCAUAUACACUAGACUUGAAGUGAAGAUGAUGUAGCUGGUCUUUCAAUAACACUUAGAGAACCACUGAGAUAGAACAUACUUGGCAAAGGGAGAAUAGCAGAAUAUAAGGUUGAAAAAGCAGGUCCAAACUAAGAUCUUGGAAGCUUUUAAAGAAUAAGAAAUAGGCAGAGCAUUUGGAAUUCCUGAAGAUUUUUUUUUACCAGAAUGGUAAUAUAAACUAUAUUGUGAUUUAAGAGAUAUUAGUGUGGACAAGUGUGUGCAGAUGAUGAUGUUCUGCUGAGUAUUAGAUUGCCUGUAAAUAGUAUAUUCCAUCUAGAGCAAAUCCAAAGUCCAACCUGGCAGGCACUUCACAUACAUGUUUUAGGAGUGGAGUUUGAUUAAAAGUUUAAAGUGUUAUUUAAAACUUUUUUUCUUUUAAAGGACCUUUCUGGGAACUUUUGUGGUGAUAGAACUAUUUCGCAUGGUACUGUGGUAGUGGAUAUACAACUGUGUGCAUUUGUCAAAACCCAUGGAAAUGUGCAUCACAAAAAGUGAACUUUAUUCUAUAAAACUUUAAAAAAGUAAACAGGAUAUUAAAGAAACACAAGAUGGAAUGCAGACUCUGAGAAAUGAAUCUGUGUAACAAAUAAAUCACAUAACCAUACUGAAACAAAUGAGGAAGAAAGAAGCUGAUCUAAGUAACUUUGUGAAAUUAUCUUUUGAUUUGAUAAUGUAAGACUAAAGAUUAAAAAUAACUGUAUCAUAGUUGGUAAAUCCAUUUCUCAUUGGAUUAUGUUUUACAGUUCUGAAACUAAUAUUACAUGUAUACUAGCAUUGAAAAAUAAGAAAAAUAUAGAUAAUAAAAAUUAGCUUUCCAACUGCCUAAGAAAGAAAUUAAAAGUAAGCAAAGCCAAAAUGCUAGAAUGAACCAUAUGGUGUUUGACUGGAGUUGGAGAUAUCAAUAUGAAGUCAUGUUGAUAUAUACACAUAUAUGCAUACAUAUGAAUAUAUAUGUACACAUAUUUACACACAUAAACAUAUGUGUGUGUACAUAUAUACACACACACACACAAAAGAUACAUAAAUAAACAUAAAUAUAUGUGUAUACAUGCACGGGUAUACAUACAUGCCUUCCCUAACACUAUCUACUGAGAAGUUUAGAAGUACUGACUCCUCAGUAGUGACUAGUGCAACUAGUACCAAGAACUUGGUCUCUAUUACCAUUCUUCAAUAAUAGAAACCAGGAAUCUUUGGAGAAAUGGCUAAUUCUGGGGCUGAGCAGGGAAAAUUCAAGAUGAGCCUAGAGCAUCUGGUGGUGCUAGGAUGUAAAGAAGUGCUCAAGAAAAAAAAAAAGAAAGGAUGAGGUGCGUAUCAAAAGGACACAGACAUAAUCUAAAGAGCUCCAAAUGGCCAAAACUGGAACAAUUUAAGCUACAAAACCGGAACAAUUUAAGCUACAAAAUAAAUAUUGAUAGUGUUGUAUUAUAACUGAAAGAAUAAAAUAUAUAUCCAUGAGUCCAUACUGAUAUAAACUAUUGAAUACAUAUGUGAAUGACAUAGAAGGAAUAGUCCUCCAGAGGAAUUCCAAUUAAUAAAUAUAGGAAUGAGGGAAUAUAGAAACACCAUCAGAACACCAUUGUAAUAAUUGCAGCAAGUGAUAUUUACUGACAUAUAAUGAUAUCCCAAAUAAAUUAGGCCAAAUUUUAAAGAGAAAUAGGAUAUCAGUAUAUCCCCAAUGUAUCUCCCUGAUAAAUAUGUAUUAAUUACUAUGGCAAUUUUAAUAUGUUCACAGGUUCUUUGAUAAUAUUUUUAUAAAGGUGGAGCUUAAUUCCUAUCCCUUUGAGUGUGGAGCUGGUCUGAGUAGCUACUGAUACUGAGUAGAGUAUGGAAAAAGAAAAAUAGUCACUUUACAGUGGAGAAAUAUGACAAAAAAAAAACAGCUUAACCAAAUUAUUAAGGUUAGCAUCACCAGAAGUAAGAUACAUUAAUGUAAUAUAUCCCUAAUAUGAUAGAAAGAGAAGGGCACAUCAGCUCUGUGGUAUUCCUCUCUCAAAUACAUACAUUCAGUCGAAUCAUGAGAAAACAUCAGAGAAAUCCAAAUAGAGGGGCUGUCUGCAAAAAUCCAACCAGUACUCUUCAAAGUGUCAAGAUAAUGAAAGACAGCGAAGAAACAUCACAGACUAGAGGAGAUCAAGAAACAUGAGAACUAAAUGCAAUACGGUAUCCUGGAUUGGAUCUUGGAAUAGAAAAAAGACAUUAUGGGAAACAUUUGGGAAAUCUGAUUAAAUCCACAGUUUAGUUAAUGACAUUGCACCAAUGUUAAUUUCUUAGUAUUGAAAAUUGCAUUGAUAAUUCAUAAUUGAUAUUUGAUAAUUGUCCCAUGUUUAUUUAAGAUUUUUACCUUAAAGGAAGCUGAGUGGAGGGUAUACAGGGACUUAGCUUCAUCAUUGCAGUUUCUCCCUAAGUCUAAAUUUACUGCAAAGUAAAAAGUUAAAAAACUCUUGAGAUAAGGAAUUUGUCUUAUUAAAGUAGUGAGCAGAUUAAUUUAGUUCAAUGAGAUUAAACAACUAGAGAUAUUAGAAAUGUUUUCUCAAUACUUGCUUUCUCCCUCACAUUUAUUUUCUCCAAGUGCAUGAUGUUCAUUGUCACUUUCAAAGCAUUCUAAAGUUGACAUCCUUCUUCUCCCACACUUCCUUUAUUACAAAGCUAACAUUUGUCUGGAAGAAAGCCUAAUUUACCAGACUUCACCGUACUCCUUAAGUAUUACCAGUUCCAAGCCCUCACAUGGGAGUUUACUCAGGAUUCAAGGCUCUGUUGCCUUCCUAUCUCCCUACAAUCCCCUUCAGUUAUUUUGUGGUUGUUUCUCACAUGUGCUCUACCAACCAAAGGCAUUUGUGUUCCAAAACGAAAUGUGCAAGAUGAAUUAUCUCUACAGUAAAGGGCUAAAUCUUUACAGACUAUCAGACUUCACAGUAUUUUGGUGGCUGUAGUGGGAAAGGCGUUUCAUGAAUACUUCAAAUAAAUCCAUAGAAUGUUUCUAAAACUAUUCCAACUCUUAGCCUUUCUAAUUUAAGGGCAUUUUCGUACUUCACAAAAUGCAAUCUGCACGUUCCUAUUCACUUCACGCAAAAUAAAAAUUUUACAUCUGUUGAGGUGUUUCAUUUUGCUGUUUUACACAUCUGUUGUUCUGUGACCCUUCUUGUUAGACCCACUUGUCACCAUAUGUGGUCAUAAUAAAAGACAUGAGAAAUAGGUUAAUUGAACAUUUAUAGCUGCCUUCAAAAAGAAUAUAUCCACUCCCCUCCCAGUCACGGUUUAUUUUGGGAGUAUAAAAUCUCCCUCUCUCUUUCUUUGUGUUUUAUUUUCUCUGAGUGUGGCAGUGUGAGUGAGUUUUUGUGUCUCCAUGGACUUCUGUGUGUGUGUGUCAUUACAAAAUUAGUAAAAACCCAUUUGAAAACAUUGUUGCCAACAUGAAUAAUAAAUUGUUGCACUUUGAUGGAUUUUCUUAGAAUGUUGUGUAUAUCCACGAUAAUGUGUGCACCAGGAUAAAUACAUUAUCAUAGCAAAUGCUUCUAAAAUUGCUGAGUAAACCAUAACAUUCAGUUUGACUUAAUGGUCACAUUGUUUUAAUUCUUCAGACGUUCAAGAAAUUGUUUCUCUUUAACUGAGCUGUGUGUACCUCUCUUUUCAGCAAACUUUUUCUACUUUCUCUCUGGCCAGUCCCUUAACUAGCUAAUGAACCAAUUGUUUUAGACAUGUAAGGCAGAAAAGUUUGCAGAAAUAUUUCAUAAAAAUGUGAAUUAUAUGCUUCAAAUGCUAAAAGCCAGCAGGGAAACCCCAGAUUUCCUUGCAAAACAGAGAGAUUACCAUUGUGCAUUAAAGUUUGAUGAAUCUGAGUGCUCAGAAUACAUCUUCAAACUAUUUUCUUUUCAUUUGAAGAGAAUAGAUCUAGUAAAUGACAUAUCAUGAUAUAUUAAAUAAUAUUCUCUAAGUAUGCCAAGUUCAGAAGUUCAUACCAUCCUUUAUGAUCUAGUAGUGGCAAGUAUAUUCGUAUUUUUUUAGAUUACAUAACAUCAUAGAAAAUACCUUUUACUAAGUUUACUAGCUGAUAUGUAAUAACAUUACCAAACAGAAACCUGAGAAAAAUCUGGAGGAUAUCCUCAGGUAUGUCUUCUUCAAACCUAUAUGUUACUAACAGGUUGGGGACCAGUUAAUGGAAAAUGACUUCAGUGAGGGUGAAGGACAUUUGAAGAUAUUCUCAACUCCUUGGAUUACAGGAAACAACAAAGGGGUAUCAAAAGUGAUUUCCAACCACUCAAAGAUGGAAUACAUACAAUCUUACUAGAGCAUGUUUAUUAUCUCUCAGUGGAUCUUUGCUGACCUUAUAUUCUCAAGUGACUUAUGAAAGAAAGAUAAUUUGACACAAUGUCAAACUUUGAAGAUAGAGACUGCCCAAUCCUAUGCUCUGUGCAUACUCAGCAGUGCUCUUAUCAAAUAAUCAACUUUUUAGAGUAGUAAGUUAAUUUUCUUCCUCCUUAUGGGCAGAGAACACAUGCAUGUCAUCUUUAUAUAUCCUGUGCAAGUAGUAAAUGUUCUAAAAAUGUCUAUUUUUAGGUAACAAGUAAGAUCAUGAACCAAGAUUCAGAAAGGAAAUUACCCUCUAGGGCAGGAAGGGUAACAUGACACGCAGGCAGCCCCUUCCCAGUCCUCUCUUCCAACACACAUUGCUACUUGGAAUUCUUUGCUACUUAGCCCAAUUACUGCCUCCAAACAUCUACUAUCAAUUCAUCAGAGUUGGUAUGUAAGGAAUACUUAUCUGCCUACAGAGCUUUAAGAAUGGCUAGCUGUUUAAACCAGGGUUUGAUGUAAAAUACAGGCAAUCUCUAAUUUGGGGUGAGGGGGAUUCACGGCAGCAAUGGCCAACUAGGGUUUCUCAAUCCAUUACUCAAAAGACUAGUAACUCAUUGUCUCAAAUUGAAUUCCAAGUGGCUGCUCCUCAGGAAGGCAGGUAUGCCAACUACCCAUUUACUGGAGGAAAAUAGAUUCCUUUUAAUGAGCACUCUCAGAAAGGAUGGAAAAAAGCAAGACCGUUGAGUAUUUUGGGGAUCACUUCUUGGAGUUUUUCACUGGGUUACUGAUCUUGAGUUGAAGGUUCUUGGAUUUGUGGUACUUUGGUGCUCUAAAGCAUCCCCUUUAAGUGUUCUCAUUCUAAUCUUCCAGCAGGCUCUACCUGCAAGGCACCCUGUAUUCCAGCAACUUAAUUGGUGAAAUCUAGAGAAUAAAUUGAAGAUCUUCAUGCUCAAAAUGUAUUCUUUGAUCAAGAGAAAUAAUAAAUUAGACCUCCAGUUUUUAUUCUAGAGUGUCCAAUUUUUUUCUAUCAGGAAAAAAGAGGAGAGUAGGUUCUGUGAAGAAAUCAUAUUCAGGAAUAGAAACUUAAUAUUCUAUCUUGUGUUUCCUGGAGCUUGAGGGCAACAACAGGGUGCAGGAGAGUGAGAAAUUCCAAUAUAAUAGAAGACUUUCUGGUUGCAAACUCUUCACCCCUUGAACAAUUAAGUGUCUCAUUCUUUCUUAAUGCAGAAAUUCUCUAUCCUGGCAACUGAAAAAUACACCCAGGCUGAACAGGUAGCCUACUGAUAGAUAACUAAUUAGCCCCUGCUAACCAAAGUGCUAAGAGAAUAAUACCAUUGUUUGAUUUUUAUAUUGAUAUUCCAUUCUAAAAAAAAGUGUCUCCAAUUUGCAAUAUAAUAUUGUCCAAUUAGCAAAUAAUAUUAUCUAUGAUUAGCACUUGAUUGACACCUGUCUGAUUUAUACUUCUUUGGCGCCCAGUUUUCCAAUAAUAGUAAAACAAUCAAUGUUCUAUAAUAGAAAUCUUGGGGGCUAAAAUGUUAAGUAAAUUUAUUUAUAAAGUAAUAAACCCAGUUUUAUUUAAUUACUCUAGUAUCUAAUAUGUCUGAAAGGCAUAAAGAUGAAAGCAAAACAACAAACUUAUUUCUUUUAAUUCUCAAAAGUAUUAAUUAAAGCAAUGGAUCUUCAUUUAGGAUGCUGACUUAGUUAUUGCACUAAAAAACUCUUUUCUGUAAGCAUAAUUUACUAUUAACUCUCAUUUUUUAAAUGUUCUAUGAUGAAGAUAUUUUCUAUCAUCAAAAGGAAAUAUGUUAAAUAAGAAAAAGAUUUUGUACUUGAGUGUAAUUAUUAGAAGUGUGCUAAUAACAUAAAAAUAUUGGUGCUAUAUCUACACAUGCAGACAAAUUUGAGUUUAGGCAAAUAGCAAAUUACUUUAAAAGCCAUCACCUAUCAAAUUUUUUUCCAGGUUGGCUCAUGUGAACAACCACAGUCUCAGGUAAAAUUUUUUUUAAAUUAUGCACAAACAGAUGUGAAAUUAUCUGUGUUUAAUUCCUCGAAAAGGAUGGAUACUGUUAGAGCAAUAUAUUUCAGAUGAAUCAUUUCUCAGCUAUGAAUUGAAAAUAUCUCCAUUGUAUCAGCCUUUUUAAACCUUUUUAUCUAAAAAUUUCAUCUUUGAGUCAGAUUUCUCCACUCAUGACACAUUCUGAUAGUGUCUGGCCUACUUCUACAGCUUAAAGAGUGUUCAUUAAAAUGAAAUACAUUAACAUGUAAGCCACAGAUGGGGAAGAUAAAAUUGCUUUAAAUAACUACCAAGGAAGUAGGUGUAAAUGAAAACAGUUAUAAGUUGAAAAUUAAUUCAGGCAUUAAUACUUUGAUACCAGACAGAUUUCAGGCUCGGCAGUUAAUUAUUCAUUCUAAAAUGCUUGAAAUAGCCUUAUUAUUUAAAGACAGAAAAACUUAGAGAUAAGACUGGUCAUUCAAAAAGAGGCUAGAUAUGAAUCAAAAGUUAAGAUAUUUUGGCACUUGCUGUUAAUAAACAUUUGUUAUAGUAAGAAAUGCAGUUCAAAUAUAAUCUUAUUUCUAGAAAGUAUAUACGCAGUGGAAUUUUUAAUAAUAGAAGGAUAAAAGAAAGAAGCAGGAAAUUGCCUUUUUUUUUUUUUUUUUUUUACAUGUUUACAAGCUGCCUCAAUUUUUCUGUGGAAGGAAAUAGAAUGUAAAUAAAUAAAAUCUGUGCUAAAAAUUUGAAGAAUAGAAAGGUCUCUAUAUGUCCCUAUUUAUUUAGGUCAAAUGCAAAGAAAUGUCUUUUCCUGGCAAUGCCAUUUCUCUGCAUUGUCAAGGGAUUGGGCAGUUUCAAUUGCUGAAUUCUCCUGAGAAUAUGCUGUAAGGCAAAUUACACUUUUGCCUACUUACAGAGUCAAAGAAAAACCAGAGUUGGGCAGUAGUUAAAGCAGUAAACACAGAUUUUAUUCAGGAACUAGUGCAAGAAGGAAAAGAGACUUCAUUAUGGAAGUGAGCUCAAUUCUGAAUAUAGUGUGGAAUAUAUAAUGUCAUAUAUACAAUACUAUAUAUACAAUUCUAUGUAGGGAGAGACUAUACAGAGACUAUACAUAUAGAAUAUUGUAUAUACAUAUAGAAUAUAUUCUUCUAAUAUAUUACAGUCUAGGCUGUGGUCUCGGGAGCUAGUGCAGGGGCUGACCGUGGCCACAAGGUAGUAUAUGGAAGGAAGUAUGAAUUUGUGGGCCUACACAGGUUUACAACCUGAAUGAGAGUUUGGUUGUUCUAUAGUUUUAUAUCUGUGAUCCUAGUGUCCAUAUAUAUAUAUAUAAAAAUAGAAGGGCCACAGGAUAAGAAUCAGUGGAAGAAAAAUUACUAAGGGAAAACAUUAGAGUUAAGGAAGGUGUCUGGUUAAACAGACCUAAUAAUAUUCUUGCUAAAGGCAGACCAGGUGAUUACAUAUCACCUGGGGAAGAUAAGCAAUUAAGAAUUUGAUCAGAUAUCAAGUGAUGAUAUGAAGAGUGAGAGAUUCUCUCCAAUCUAACUGAGCAAGAUUCCUGCUACAACUAGGUGCUUCAGGUGCAAAAAGGAAAAAAUGCCAAAGUCGAGGCCUAUAGGGCUUAGGAGAAGCCUGACUUUAGUUAGAUCAAGGAAAGAGUCUUUGUCAAUAUAUAGUGUAUUCUAAAAAGAAGAAGGAGAAAGACUGUUUUUAAUUAAAGAUAUAGAAAUUUUCACACUUUGGGCCCAUGCUUUGCUACUAUGCACAUGAAUAUGAAUGGAUUAUUUUUAGGCUCCAAACCCUUUUGAGGAGGUGUAUUUUUUAAAUGAAGUUACAGAAGAAAUGUUUAAGAUCAUCUUCCCAAGAUGGCCAAUGGACUUUAUUCAGGUAUAAAAUCACAUCAAUUGGAGUCUCUGCGCAGCCCUAAUACUGAAAAGGGUUUUGAAACUAACAUCCUGGCCAGCAGGAAAGAGCACCGUGAUUGAUUAGUGAUGUCUAGCAUGGGUGGGAAAGGGAACACUAAUAAAUAUGUUAUUUUCCCUGAUUUAAAUUUUUCUUUGUAUAGCUGGCUAAACAAAGUUAAAUAAGUUACCUAAGAUCUUAAAAAUAAAUAAAUGCAAGAAAAGAAAAGACUCCAGGUAUCCUGAUUUGCAGUCUUUGUUUUAUAUAUCACACUGAAUUUACCUGAUUUUAUUUUUUGUGUACAUAUUCAUAUACUAGAAACAUUUGUGUGUAUACGUACAUGUAUGGCUGUCUGAAUAUGCCUUCGAAAUAUUUAACCAUGUGAAUAGUCCAUUAGGCCAUUAUUUCUCAAUUUCCGGUCUCAUUAUUUAUUUAAAAGUAAGAGACAGUAUGAUUGAAAGUCCCCCAAAACUACAGUAUGUUUGAUUUUUCUUUCAUAAUUGUCUUUAAUGGAAUCUGAUAUUUUCCAGAAACUUUUAAUGUUCACAUUUUUGAUGAAAUGAAGAUGAUUGUAAAAUAAUCAUGCUUGCAUUUUUGUGUUAAGGUAGGAGAAAUUCCACUGGCAAUCCCGAUGGAAUAUGCAAUGUUACUUAAGUAUUUAUAAACAAUAUCUAUAGAAAUUAUUCUUAAGAGCAUAAAAUGUAGAGUACCAUACUAUAUUACACUAAAUUCUUUUUAUAAUGCUGGUCUCGGAGACAACAUAAUGCCCAUGAUGUAGGUGUUCUAAGUUAUUCUCAAGAGAUGCAUUAUACACUUAAAACAGAGAAUACAUAGGGCUGAACUCAUAGCUUGCCCAACUCUAUCUUGCUCAUAAUUUGGCAUGUUUCAGUGUUGUAGAAAGAAACUAAAUUCCUUAAAUCCUUUCCUACAAUUUGACUGUUGCCUUUAUCCUAUAGGUAGAUUUUCCUACACCAAGGAAAAUUGUGGUCCAAUUUAUCCUACUAAGUGAUCUAGAUAAGGAGCGGAAUGUGGAUGUUAGGAGGAAACUCCUAGACACUAGUCUAGGCUGUGGUCUCAGCAGCUAAUGCAGGGGCUAACCAUGGCCACAAGGUCAUAUAUGGAAGGAAGUAUGAAUUUGUGGGCCUACACAAGUUUACAGCCUGAAUGAGAGUGUGGGUGUUCUAUACCUGUGAUCCUAGUGUCCCUGCCUGAAGGGCUGGAUUCAAGUCUGGAGCAGUAGACAGGAAAAAAAAAAUGGGUAAGUAACAAAGAAGUCAACUCUGAACCUUGCAAGUAUGAGUUAGGAAAGAUCCUUUAAAGAAGUGCUGCUUCCAGGAAGUGGCAGCACUGGGAACUAAUAAGGGAAGGCACUCUUAAGGACACAACAUAGUGUCAACUGUAAAAGAUUAUGCCAUUUAUAGAUCAACACAACUGAAAACAUCUAUGAGUGGCUGGAAAGGUAUAUCAAUAAGAAUGAGAAUGAAACUCCGUCUCUACUAAAAAAUACAAAAAAACUAGCCGGGCGAGGUGGCGGCUACUCGGGAGGCUGAGGCAGGAGAAUGGCGUAAACCCGGGAGGCGGAGCUUGCAGUGAGCUGAGAUCCGGCCACUGCACUCCAGCUUGGGCGACAGAGCGAGACUCCGUCUCAAAAAAAAAAAAAAAAAAAAAAAAAAAAAAAAAGAAUGAGAAUGAAAUUAUCAUAGAUGGAGAAGCUAAUCUGUGCUGAACUUGGAGGAUCCUCACAACACAUGAGCGGCAAAGGAUGGUGAGGCUAAAAAAACUCAAAGACUGUCUUCUCCACCAUUUGGACUUGGACGGUAGAAAUGAUUGCCCACAAUGCUGUUAAAUUCAUGAAGAAUGGGUGAUUUAUAAUAUAGCUUACUUUUGCCAUCUUACCAUAUAAAUGAGGAAGGAAGUAUAGAUCAUUGGAAACAUUCCUUAUUAUUCAAUUAUGCACUCCAGAUCCUGGUAUGUAAGUCCUGGCACAGAUUAGACAUGCAUUCAAUAGAUUUCGACUGAAGUUUAUUGAACACUUGCUAUAUGCCUGGCUCUAUACUAGAAGCUUGAGCUUUCAAUGGCAGUCAAUUGUUGACAGGGUCUCUCCUCCCACUCACCUAGGGGAUAUGAAAUAAAUAUUUAAAACAAUCCAUGAAAGAAUGUUAUUCAGACAAGGUAGAUAUUAUAUGACUCUCCGCCUCUCUUCAAUCACUACUGGAAUUCUCUAUGCAGUGCUUAAGAGCAUAGGGCUUUGGGGUUUAACAGACCCAGGUUUAGAUUCAUCCAGUUUCACUAAUUUUCAAGUAAAUGACCUUGGAAGAUCCCUUUACUGUGCUGUGCCAUAGUUUCCUCAUCUAUGAAAUAAAUAUGUUUUUAAAAAAUAUUUAGAGAGUCUAGUGCUUGGCCAGUUUUGGCUCUCCUUUCCUUCCAGAAGCUCUUGGGAAGAUUUUAGACAAGAUCAUGUGACUUUUUCUGACCAAUGAAAUUUUGAGCAAUUUUGAGUGUGGGACUUCUGUGCCAAAGCAUGGAGGAAUCAGUGCAUAACACUCUGUCUCUUUCCCCACCAAGCUGAACAAAGAGAACUUUUGUUCUUUCCGGAUAAUACACUAAUAAGACGGUUAAUCUGGUCUCAGAGGGAUAUACAAAUAGCAUGUAGCAUGGCAAUAAAUAAACAUUUGUUAUGUUAAUUCCCUGAGAUCUUAAGGUUGUUUAAGAUCUGAAGUAAUGUCUAAUGUAUUCUGACUAAUAUAUAGGCCUAGAUUAGACAAAAUACUUGAAUUGCUUAGCAUAAUGUUUAGGAUAUAGUAAGCACUCAAUAAAUGCUAGCCUUUGGCUUAGACAUAGAUGGUUUCUCUGAAAACGUUUAAUUUUAUAGCUCUGGUGUCCAGAAGGAUAAAGUUGUAGACACUUCUCUAAGUAUAAGAACUCUCCUGUUCUCAAUACAGGGAAACUAUCAACCUCUAUCCACACAGACUCAUAUGAAAUGACUAGCUCUUUCUUUUAUUUAAAUCACUGUACGUUGACAAUAUUUGCUGUACCAAAGGGGCUCAUGUUAUUCAGCUCUACAAAGUCGCAAAUAAUAUAUAUUUGAAAACAAGUGGUAGCUGAUGUAAGCACCAGAUGGCUCAAACAUAAAAUCAAGGGAGCUGCUUUUAGCUCUACCCCAGGGCUCUUAAAGCCGCCUUCUCAGUGCUCCUUUAUAUGUUGUAGUUUAUUUCUGAAGUGACAAUAAAAUUGGGAACGGCAGAAUGGAAAGGAGCACCACAGCCUCGGCAUGUUUUAACAAUCUGCUAUGCAUAUGAGAUGAAACGUUGCCAUCACUAGAAUCAACAACAUCUUGACACAUGAUUCAAACGUCAAGAAUAUCCAAGAAUGUAAGAUGUCUUUGAAACAGCGACAAGAAGCUGAAGUCAAAUCCAGAUUGGAGCCCAAUGCCUAAAAGGAUCUCAUUUCCUUUUUUCUGAAGGUUGACAAAUUUGUAGAGCACAGAUUUAGCCUUGGGGACUGAACCUCUGAGAGAUCCAUUAUUAUAAUUAUUUGCAUUUGGUGGCAGCAUGGAGGGUGCCUCACUUAGUGUGAAGGUAUCACAGAGAAGUGUUGUGCCCAAAGCAGCAGAAAUGUUGCUGUUCAGAGAAGUUACCAGCUACAGAAAGGCUUACUGUGCCUACAGAAUCAGCCCCAUCUCCAGAAAAUAAGUGAUGGAGCUAUAUUAGUUACGUUUUGAUGCAUAAUAAGUAUCCCCAAAUUGUGCAGCUUAAAACAUCAAACAUGGUAUCUCAGUUUCUGUGGGUCAGGAUUCCAGGUGUGGCUUACCAAGGUGGUUCUAGUUCGAGGUCUCUCAUGAGACUGUAAUCAACAUGAUGGCUAAGGCUGUGGUUUCAUGAGUCCAGAUAAUUUGUUUCCAAGAUCACUCAGGAUGGUUGUUGGUAGGAAACCUCAGUCUCCCACUAUGUGGACUUUUUGAUAGAGUUGCUCACAACAGUAGCCUUCUUCCAGGCUACUGAUCAGACGUGGUGGGCAGUGGGUGAAGCACACAAGACACAAAUUGCAGUGACUCUUUUGAUUCAGAGCAAAGCUAUAUAGCAGCACCUCUGCCACAUGCUGCUGGUCAGACACACCAAUCCCAGUACAAUGAUGUGAAUACCAAGAAACCAGGAUCAUUGGGAGUCAUCUCAAAAGCUGGCAACCACAGAUGUCAUGGCCGCAUAAAACUGGUAAAGCAGUGCUCUCCCCUGCCUUCUUAUUUUUCUCUGCUGGGUCAGUUUUCAAGAUCUGCAUGAAAUCUUCACUUCUAUCUGGGGCCACACUGAUAUGAAAGAAUAUCCUAUUUAUUAAUCUCUCAUUUUAUAAAUCUUUUGACAUCUGAAAAUAUCUUUCUCUUUCUAUUCUGUUUCUUUGGUGGGCUAUUCUCAUUUCUAAUUUUCUUCAAAUGACAUUAAAGCUGCAAUGUUGUGAGUCCAGGGUUUAGAAGACCUCCUGUCCAACAGGAAAGACACAAGAAUAGACUGUGAGUUGCAGAAACAGUCUACCCCUGUUCCACUCCGGUGACUUUGCUAAAUUGCAAAAUACACAUGCUCUCGUUUCCAAUUAAUUAUCUCCUAACAAAUACUUCCCAGUCUAUUGUCUCUGUCUCUUGACAAAUGAACAGGUUAGAUGGGGAGUACCAGACAACAAGAGAAGGGACUAUUGCUUGGAAUUGGCAGUAAAAUCAACGAAAGAAACUUAGAAGAGGUUAAUAGGGAGCUAUUCAUAAAGGGUUUUCCUCUUCCUACUUUAACUAUAUGGAAACAAAAACAUCAAAACUUUCUGGAAGAAAAGGAAUUUGGUGGGCACAAUUGUCCCCCAAUUCAAUAAGAUCAUAAGUGCCAGAAAUUUUUUUUAAAAAAUAAAAGCAAAAGCAACUUGAACAGUGAUUAGAGUCUCAAACUAACUUGCCAGCCUCUCUCUACUUUUACAUCAUUAUGGUCCAUCUCAAUUUGUGGCCUGAUUGGGAGCUAGAAAAGAUAUAUAGAGGUGGCAACCAAUAGGGUACCUCUUUAUAUAGGAGACUGACAGUAGAUAAUGCAGGUCUUAACCUACAUUGUUCUUGUUCCUCAAGUCCUCAAGUCCUUCCGGCUUUCUUUUCUACUCAGUUACACUGAGGGCCACCCCUUACCCAAUACCUUAUAAGAAUCACUGCUUAAGUGUUGAGUACCCAGGCUGCAGAGUCCAGACCCUCUUUAUUUGAACUCUGACUAUGGCACUUACUAUCUAUGUCGCUUUGUACAGGUAGUCAAUUUCCAUAUGCCUAGUUUACGUUUCUUUAGUAAUGAUGAUAAUAAUAGUACUGCCAACUUCUCUGGGUUGUUGUGAAGAUUAAAAGGGUUAAUGUGUUUAAAUCACCUAAAAUUUUAUCUGGCGUGUACUCAGUGCACACAUACUACUAUCAUCACCACUUUUAAAUACCUAUAUGCCUUCUUUAUUUUUUGGUAAAAUUUUAAGGUUUUUUGUUAUCAUAUUUUUAUCUUUAUUUCAAAUAGUUUGUUGUGUGCCCAAUAGAAAGCAUAUGUUAUCUUAUUUAUCUUUGUACCCUAGCACACUGUAUAAUACUUGGCAUAUCAUGUGUAUUCAAUCAGCUUUUGAAUAGAUAAAUGCAUUAAUUAAUAGGUACAUCAAGUUGCUUUAUUCUUCACUGUCAAAUUUUCAUUUUACCCUCUGUUGAAUAAAUGAGUGUUUCUGGAAAUUGUUUUUGCCAUGGAUAUUCCUUAUGUAUGUAGAUUUAAGAAAAGGUUUGAUCAAAUCACCUUUACACUAACUAUAACCAAAGGCUGGUUAUAUAACUUUGUGAUUAGAAACACUUGUGACCAAAGAGCUAUUGUGUCAAUUAAAACAAACAAAAAAACCCCUAUAUAUUACUUUUCCUUCUGGUAGUUUACCUCUUGUCUGCUUAUCAGAUACAGAUUUCUUUCCACAGAUAUAACCAUUUGAACCAUAGAAAUGGUUGAGCCAUAAUAUUUCCAAGUUGGAUUACAUCAUGGAUAUCAUAUAUUUAGAUUGCUAAUUUUACAGAGAGGAAAGUAGCAAAUGAUGCCAAAAUUACACAGCUAAUUAGGAUCCAAAAUAUAGAAAUAUGUGCAUAGGAGGAGUUAAAGAGAAAUUCCAUUCUCACCAAUGCUAGAGUUCUGCUUCAAUGGGCUACUUCUCUACACACAGCCUGAGUUUUCCCCUCGGGCAUGAGUUCUUUCUAUAGAGGCAGCUGCCAGUAUUGCCCUGCUCCUUGUCGCUUAUCAAAUCCAUAGAAAAUAGAAAUAUUGAGAGAUUUGGCAAACAAUGAAUCAUAUUCUGAAAAACAUCACAGUCCUCACACAGCUAAAAAAAGGAAGAGUUAAGAAUAUGGCUCAAGAAGGUAACAGAGAGAGACAGAGUCAAACAGCACAAUAGACAGAGAUAGAAAGACAGAAGAUAUAGAAGACGGUGGGCAGCCUACAAGACUGGAUUUUUAAAAGGAUAUUGACACACUGAAAUCAGCAAAAGGCAUUGGCUUCCAAAGGAGUUUAAUCACCAUGAAGCUAGGGAAGUUCAGGAGAGCAUUUCUUGCCCACAAAACCUAUUUGGAAGUUGCUAUGAAAGCCAGAAAAACCCCUAAAAAAGGAGGGGUAUGUAGGUUGCCUUUAAGAAGCGUAAAGCACCCCUUGUUCCUUCUGUGGGGCUGGUCAAAGGCAGACAAACAGAUCCUGAAUUUCAAAUUUGGGACUUACUUGUUCUCUAAGUCCAGCAUGGGACCUUGUAUCCCACACCACUCCCCAACUACUAGAUGAAGGGCUUCAUUGGGGCAGUUCUUUGGGGUUUUUGUUUUUGUUUCUGUUUUCUGGUUGUUUUUGGUUUUUUUUUUUUUUUUUUGGUUGGGAGCAGGCUGUUAUCUCUCAGUCAUCUAACACAGCACUCAGCAUAUAAUAAUUAAUAGUCUUUCUGGCAUGAAAUAAUGAAUGAGAUGCUUCAUUGAGCCAGCAGCCAAUCAGCUGCUAAAGCAAGAGACCUGCCCAGGCAGCCAGGAAACCUGAAUUCACAUCUCAGUUUUAGUGGAGGAAAGAGCCCGGAAAGAGUUUAGAUUAAGUUGCUCAAGGCUGCAUAAUUAACAAUCCACAGAACCAGAACUGGGGUAGAUUUCCAAGUUUCCAUUCUUUCCACUGGACCUGCUGUAUUCUUACAAAGUAAAUUGAACCUCAGUGGAAUUAUAAACGAUUCUCAAUGAUACCAUUUCAUCCAUAGCUACUGAGACUGCCUCUCCCCCAUCCCCCCAACAAUCUCCUACACUGGGCUGUCAGACAGGAGAUAAUAAUUAUACUGUCUAAUACAUAAUGUGUAUAUAAUCUGUUGAAGUUACAUUAAUAAUAACUACUAACAUUAUAAUGUCUUUUAUGUGCCAGCCACUAAGAUCUUUACUAAAAUUACUAAAAUCUUUACAAAAAUUACUUCAUUUUCACAAUCACCUCAUGAGUCAAGUUAUUGUUUUCCCUCUUUUAUAGGUUAGUAAACUGUAGCCCAGAGAAAGUAUUUAAUGUACUCAAUGUCACCACUGUGAGAUAAAAUAGGCAGAUAUUACUUAGAUUUUCUCACAAUCUAAGUUUUGAGUGAAAAAGUGAAACUCAAAGCAUUUGUGACUAGACCAAAAUUACCAAACUAGUAAAUGACAGUACCUGUUCCCAAACCCAAGGUUUCCAGCUUCAUCAAAAAUAUGUUUUUUCUCCUAUCACCCUUGCCCCUAGACACUUUUGAUGCAAAACUAAUAUUAAUUUAACAAAAAAAUAUACUACUUAAAUGAUUUAGAUAAAUAAACAAUGAACAGAUAUUACUUAAAACAUAUACUAUUUCAGCAAAUAGUUGAAAUAUUUAGUGAGCUGGAUGGAACGGAAAGCCUACAGGUUAGAGAAAAUCUCAAAAGUAACUGCAUUUUGCAAGGCAAUAUCUAGAUAAGGUUGGUUUCUGGCAGUUGCCUCAAUGAAUGCAUCUUCCUCAUACACAACUGCAGGGGACCAGGGAAGUCAAGCAAACAAAUAAUGUUUAAAAAAAAAAAAAACUAUUUUUACUUCUUAUAAGGCCUAAAACCUCGUAUGAUUUUAAAGGCUAAACAUUCUAUCCAACUUAACCACUUAGUGCUUUUUCCUGGAUUCAUUUCCCAAGAGUUUAAUGUUGUGUGCAUAAGAAUCACUGUCUUCACUGAAAGAUGUAAUUUGGUACAAGUGGUCAUAACUGAGAUUUUUCUCAAACGGAUAAAUUUAAGGGGACUAUUAAAGGUCUUUAUAUUAAUAUCUACUGGAAGAUCUAGACCAAGAAAAACCUAGAUGUGUUGAUUGUGAUACCAGUUUGUUCUCUAAAAUCAAACUUUACUGAAAUCACAUAUUUCUUUUAUGUAUGUACAGUGAAUUGUGCAAUUAGGACACACUUAUGUCCAACUCAUUAUGCCCUCCCACAUUAUCUUUCUUUCUGUUGAUAAGGAAUCGUUUUGUAACUAAAUAGCGGGAGAAUAAAACAUUUAAAAUUAUGGUCAGGCACAUAUCUUGGUCAGACUCUACUAUUUCAAUUUGCAUAAUAGAAAUUGCUUUAACUUUUUAAGAAAGAUUUUAUAUGUAGAUCAAGCUGAGACUUUCAUUGGCACUUCGUAAUAGAACUCUUACCAUCUUGAGAUCUGAUUUCAACUAUAAAAAUGUUUCACUGGGACGUGUGAGUCACUACUCUCCAUGAAUCCUCCUGUUCCAGCAGAUUUUGGGGGAUUGUCAUAAGCACAUAUGUAAGUAUGUACAAAUGUCCACACCAAAACAUACAUAUUUGCAAUUGUACAUGUGUUUUUUCAUUUAUCUAGUAAAUAUUUACUGAGUACCUACCAUUUGCCAAGACUGUUUCAGUUAUUGAGAAUAAAAUAGUAAAACAGUUCCUGACUUUUUGAAGCUUACAGUCUACUGAGAAAGACGGGAACUACAUAAGCAAAAGUGGCUUUUCAUGUCAUAUGUACAUACUUAUAUAUCACAUACACACACAUAUGUAUGUGUAUGUAUGUAUUCACCUUAUGUUCUGCUAUAUAUACGUACACACAAUUGUACUUGUUCAGGUCAGUCUGAGAGAGAGUGGCAAAUUUUCCAAAGUUAAAUGUGCUCCAGAAUUGGUUGGCUCAGGAAAAAUUGCUUGUGGAGCUCUUGAUCUUUAUUCACUUGCUCUCAUUGCAUCAUGGAGUUAUGAGGAGCAAAUGUUAUCAUAGGAGUGACAUUAUGAUACCACCUGCCCUGGCAUAUUGCUAAAACCACGUGGCUCUUUCUGAUUUGUCAUAGUUAGAGUAAUGUUAUUGUGGUGAAACAUUGCAAAGAUUUUCUUCUUCAUUGUCACUCGACUGGGAGUGAAAAGGUCAGACUUCUAAUUCCAUCCCUGCAGAAUACUGGCUGUAUGAUUUGGGCAUAUCACUGUAUCUGCUGGGGCUUCGUUUUCCUUCUCUAUAAGAGGAAGUGAUGGAAUCAGAAUACCUUCUAAAAUGUCACCGGGCUGUAACAUCCUCUGCCUCUAGCUUGAAUCAUUUACCUUAGUACCUCGCUGUUUAUGCCCUGUCAACAUCUCAUAUUCUUAACAGCGUGGCCUAGUACAGACUGUGCCGUUGCUAAACUUGUCAACAAGCUCGUACCAGCAAAGAAUCCAUCGACUUCCCCUUCUGGUGUUGUCUGUCACCAGCCUGGACAGAGCAUAUGAUUUGAAUAUGGAAACUAAGGUUUACUACGGCAGUUCUCAGAGAGGCUUUUUCCAACACCUUGACCAUGAGAGGUUCCCCUGCUUCAUGCUUCUGAAGCACAUUGCACUUAUUUUUCAUAGUUCCUACCAUACUGUUAUCAUAGAAGUACCUUGGACUUAUUUUUCACAGUUCCUACCACCAGGACUUAUUUUUCAUAGUUCCUACCAUAUUUCCCACCAAUAGUGUCAAUUAUGUAAUUGUUUUGUUGUUUUUAUUUAAGGUCUCCCUUACAGUACAUUUUACAGAGAAUUUCUUAUUCACUCCUGUAUCAACAGCACUUAGAAUAGUGUCAGGAAAAUGGAAUACACUGAAAAGGUGUAUAUAAAAAGGAAUAAAUAAGUCCAGAAUAAUCUGAUUUGUCAAUGUGGCAAUGAUCAAGCAGCUCUUCUGUAGGAAAGCCUCCGUGGUCACCCUUCAUGGCUUUGCUCCUGGCCUUUGGUAUUUUUUCUUAGCUGAGACAAUAGUACAGCUGACCUUUGGCAGGCCUGCUUUUCUGCUGGCGUUGGUUUCCCAGAAAGCUGUAUUGUUGCUACAUUGCUUCAAGUACAGCGCUGAGACAACUGUAGUAGCACAUAUUCUGACAGUCCGUUCUGUUCCUGCUGUUCCAUGUGGAAUCUAUCCUUACUCACCUGACUUACAGAAACUGCAUGAGGUGAAACUUCCUUUAGUGCCUAUAACGCAUGUCCUAUAGCAUCCUUCGCUGUCAGAGAGUUUGCCAUUGUAGACCAUUUCAUGCUGCUCAGCAGCUCAACUUACUAUUUAUAUAUCCCCAAAAUGUAAAGCCAAUACUCCAGCGAUAUCUGUCUUCCACCCUCAAGCUGCCUUUUUAUUACUCAUUUUCAACUUCUUUAUUUGUCAGUCGUCUAAAAUGUACUGCUCAAAUGAGGCCUAAGGAUGGCUAGAAAUUAAGGGCUUUCUUCUAUUAUGUCGGUAAUUGUGGACCCAGAUCAGAAAUGAGAGAUACAAAAAUUGGUAUGUCUCUGUAUAUGCCAGUCACUGUGCUAGAUCUCUCAUCUUGGUUAUUUUAUAUAUGUAUACACACACACACACACACACACACACACAUAUAUAUGUCCCCGCUUAAAUCUCAUGUUGAAUUGUAAUUCCCAAUGCUGGAGUUCAGGCUGGGUGGGAGGUGUUUGGGUCAUGGGGGCGGAUCCCUCAUGGCUUGGUGCUGUCUUUGCAAUAGUGAGUGAGUUCUCAUGAGAUCUUGUCUUCUAAAAGUGUGUGGCUCCCCGACCUUCACUCUCUCUCCUUUGCUCCCGUUCUCACCAUGUGAUGUGUCUGCUCCCGUUUUGGCUUCCACCCUAAAUAAAAGAUCCUUGAGGCCUCCCUAGAAUCCAAGCAGAUGCCAGUGCCAUGUUUCCUGUAUAGCCUGCAGAACCAUAAGCCAAUUAAACCUCUUUUCUUUAAAAAUUACCCAGUCUCAGGUAUCUCUUUAUAACAAUACAGUAACAACCUGAUACAGAUUCCAAGCAUUAACGACAUACCUCACAUGACUAAGUCUUCAUAAGAGUGUCUAUAUGAAUUUGCCAAAUCCCCUUUUAGAUUCAGCAUGUCAAAUUGAUGAGUAAUGUGUUGAAUCUGUGGAAUGGGUAUUUCAAAGCAUCGGGUCUUUUGCCAACCCCUUGGAAAUCUGUCAAAACUCCAGCCAAAAAAAAAAAAAAAUCAGAAGCAAUAACUAAAAGCCAUUCCUCUCUAUAAUCAUACAUGAGGAAGAAUUGUAAAGAGCUAACAGGUUGCAAUUCAGUUCCUGUGAGUAAUGAGGGUUUUCUAGAUAUAAGGAAAUAAACAGUCCAACUCUUAAUUACCAGGUGUCUAGGCCCUGUCUUUCUUUGCAUGGCAUCAAUACAAUGGACUUUUAUAAACCUAUCAGUUUCUUUUGGAAUCUUGUAUCCUCGACCACAUUCCCUUUAUUUUUAUUUACAUUCUAAUUUGUAUUAGAGAGAAAACCAAGUGAGUUUGCUGAAAACUAAGACAUUUAUUCUUCUGUGAUAAUGGAAGAAAAUAAUACCACACUCUCAUCAGAUCUUUUCCAGAGAUUAGUAUCUAUACAAUGAUGAAAGUCAGUCUUUAGCCUCAGAGCGCUGUAUGAAAUAUUCACUAAAACCCAAAGUUCUUCAAUGCGCUUUUGACUUAAUGCUCUAUUUACUGAAGUAAAUAGAAACAUUCCUAUAAGUCUGGGAUAAACAUUUCGGUUGGCUGUAAUUCAUAGUUUGGACCAAAAUACUUCCAAAUUGUUCUUUCAAAUCUCAUCUGGUAGGAAAAUAUAUUGGAGUAACUUUGAAUAUAAGUAUAAAGUUAUUUUAUUAAUUUUAUUAAGCAUAGAAAUGCACCAGUUGUCAUUAGUACUUCUUUUUUACUACAGGUGAUGUUUUUCUAACUCAAAACAGAAUUGGCUUUUGAUUAACUGAGAGGAUGUUUUUACAUUCAAAGUAGUUUUGACCUAUUAAGUAUGGCAAUAUUUAUACUGUCUUGGGAUACUUACCAGGAUGAUAAUAAACAUGCAUCUUUUCUUAGUUUUGACAUUGGACUUUUUCUUCGAAAGAAUACUGGUGGUAUAUGCAUAUAGAGAUACUUAUAGGAACACUGUAAUCCUUAGCCCUCUGUGAAUCUUCCUUUACUCCAUCAUGUGCACACACCUACUCAAGCACCUCCAAACAAUAGCUUCAUGUAGGGACAAAAACUUCUUCUGCAAAAUAAAUGCAGUCUAUCUUGCGCAUUUGUUAAGUCAUAGUGAAAUUUUGAUUGCCGAGUACAGCUAAUGUUUUCCUUUGUAGGUUUCCUUUGCAAACAUUCAGAAAUAUUAUUUUGCAAUCCAUUUAAUAGAUUAAUAGAAAUGGUUUUCUGGAGGAAAAAAAUUACUUUUAAAGCUGAAUUAUAUGAUAGUCACUUAUAAGAUGAAAUAUUCAUAAUGCUGUGAUGAUUUUAAAGUAAUUUCAAACGGAACAUAAGCUAACAUUUAUAGAGUGAUGCUUAUUUGCUAGGCAGUCACUGUGCUAAGUGAUUUGUACGCAUUGUCUCAUUCAACCUCACUACAAUGUUGAGUGGUAGAUAUCAUCAUUAUCUCCAUUGAAUAAAUGUACAAACUUAGAGAAAAUGAGUGGCUUCUAAGUAUUGGAGCCAGGAUGUGAUGCUAAGUAAGUUUCCUCCAGAAACUCUAUUAUUAACCACUGUGCUAAACCAUCCUUUAACAAUAACCAUGUGAUGGAAACAAAAGUAACCUAGUGAAGCAUUUGAACCAACUAUUAUAAGCUAUUAGUAAUAUAUAAGAAAAGUGAAAGCCAGAGCUUCGCUUAGAGUCACACACCUAAGAUCAACAGAUGGGAUAGAAUCUGAGUCUUCUGACUGCCAGGACAGUGCUGUCUGUAUUAGACAGUCAUAACUUGUGGCCUCUGAUGUUAGCUAUAAAUACAUGAAUGCUCACAGAUCAUGCAUUUCUUCUGCUUAGGGCGAAAGUGUGAUUUCUAAAUUGUACUCCAUGCACAAAGUCUCUGCUAUUCCAGUGCUCUAAGAGACUUGACGUUUACUUUAUGGGCCUUCUCAUAAAGGUGAAAAGUAAGGGUCAUCUUCUUUGCCUUCUGUGUCUAACUUAGCUCACAGUUUGUCUUCUGAGGCUUCAUCAGCACUAACCUUGGUCAUUCCAGGGCAACCCACUCUCAUUCUACUGUGAAAAUGACAUUGCUUCCAUUCCACAAUGAUUGGGAGUCAGAGCUUUCAGAUGAAACCAUGGCAACCAAAAGGAUUAAUUUCUGCUGUGUCUCAAUAACAUAAUCAUGUUAUCUCUCAACAGUCUAAAAGAUAACUCACACACACCUCUACUGUAUAAUGACACAAAGAUAAAAUAACAACCUAGAAACCAAAUGUAACCUUCCAAAAUACAUAGAAAUGAAAUGGUUUGAUACUGAACAAUUUUAAUAAUAUAUUGUGUGUGCAGAGUUAUAAAACAAUAAUUAAUGUGGUCUAUAGAGAGGGCCAUUACAAAUGUUUCCUUCUUGUAACACAUUGUUUCCUCAAUAUCUUGUUUUAAUAGAAUUUCCUUCUAUCUGGCCAAAAUUACAUUUACUAAAGAAGUAAAAUCUUAUUUUUCAUGAUACCUUAUUUUCCCACAUAACUAUUGAAAAUGUCUGUCUUGGUGAACUUCUCUUCACCUCUGUUUUAUGUACAAUUAAAACUAUCCCUUUGCUAAGGCCAUUCCCCACAGUAAUGCAGUAGCCCACAGUGAUAUAUUCCACCAUUAGCCUUGGCAUGCCCACUCUGACUCUCCACAUAAUGAGACCCAUAAGAAAAUCUCACUGAGGACCUUUGCUGUUGCUCAUCAGAAAAGCCUACUUGGCACCUCAUGAAGAAUAUUUCACUGCUUACAAGUUAGUGACUCCAACGACAAAACAGGAACUCAAAAACCAAUCAAUAUAAAAACAACAAAGUUCUUGAAAGAUAAGUAAUUUAUGGUUAAACUACAGUUUUAACAGAAUAGAGGUUUACAAGUUCAUGAUGCUUAUUUAAUCGUGUAAUUCUGUUACGCUAACAUCCUCUGAACUGUCAGACGAGUUGUCCCUCUAUGGCAUCAGGGCUUAUACGGAAGCAGAUAGCUAUAUUCGGUGUUGGUUUAAAAUGUGAGAACAAGAUUGGAAAAUUGUGUGUAAACUCUUUUCUCCUGCAAAGUCCAUUAUGAUAGAAAUCUCCAGGAAUUAACAUUGAAUUUGCCUCUCCUCCAGUUUUGGUGACAAAAACUAUUCACUUAUUAGCUACCUUUAAUAAAAAGACCCUAUUAUUGAGGAAGCUACUAGUAUUGAAGUCUUAUAUGAUCCCUUGCAUAGGAAUGUCUCCAUUUAAGUAAUUAUAGAUAUAAUGAAUAUCAAUAAGAUAUCUCUUCUGGAAGGUAGAGAAUGGGAUGCUGAGACAUCCUAGCAUAGUAUUUCUCUCAUCUCUACUCCUCAUUACAUGUGUGACUAUGGACAAGAUAUUUAACCUCUCUGUGCUCCAUUAUCUUAUUUGUAAAAGGGGAAUUAAUGCUAGUAUCUACCUCAUAGAGUUGCUGAGGGGAGUAAAUGAGUUAUGUAAAACAUUUAGUUAUGUAAAACAUAUGUAAAACAUUUAGGACUGUGUUUGCUACAUGGUAGGAGUUUGGUAAUUCCCAGAAUUGUAAUUAAUGUAGUUAUAAUAAUGACUUGUUACAACAGCUGUUCAUGUUCAAUAAGUAGUUUCUGAAAUACUGAAUCAAUGAACUCUGAAUAGUGUAAGGAAAUCUAUAGCAGAUUUAUUGGCUCAAGUUAGUUUCAACUAUUACCUGCACUGUAUUUUCUAAGUAAUAAAAUAUCAUUAUUUUCUUUUACAAAAGAGCUUGACUAUAUUAAGCCAGUGGGAUCAUUCUGAUCUGUUUAGGGAUAUAAAGGGAGAAAGUUUAAUUUUAAAUAUUUGUUGUAUAUGUUAAAAAUACUUGCCUGUAAUUUGGCACAAAAUUCCCAUUUUAGGAGUGCAUUUGUCCUUCACAAAAAUUUUAAGAUUUUGAUCUAUAAAUUUAUACUCUAAACUUUUACAUGAAUCAGAACUGUUAAAAAUACUCUGGAUUCUAUAGUUAUCUUCUAGCAACAAAUAUGACUCCCAAAUUGUCCUAGUCCACUUAUGUUGCUGUAAAGGACUACCUGUGGCUAGAUAAUUUACAAAGAAAAGAGGUUUAUUUGGCUCAUGGUUCUGCAUGCUGUGCAAGAAGAAUGGUACCAGCAUCUGCAUUUAUGAGGGUCUCAAGUUGCUUCCACUCAUGGCAGAAGGCGAAAGGGACCCAGUGUGUGAAGGGAUCACGUGGCAAAAGGGAGCAGGCAUAAGCUUCCAGGCUCUUUUCAACAACCACUUCUUGUAGGAAUAGCGAAAACUCACUCACUCCUGAGAUAAUUACGUCAAGCCAUUCAUGAGGGAUCCACUUCCAUAACCCAAACACUUCCCACCAUGCUCCACCUCCAUCACUGUACAUCAAAUUUCAGCAUGGAACUUGGUGAAGCAAAACAUGCCAUAUGCAAACCAUGGCGCAAAUAAUUACCCUAAAACACAAUAUAUUCACCAUGUAAUAGUUGGAAAAAAUCAAUGUCUACAUCGUAGGUAGAAUUUUGUUAUUUAUAUAGUUUCCUUACUCAUGCCAUUCUUCUUUGCUUCUACUUGGUAAGGUUAAAUUUUCCCUUGAGUCUAAUACUCUACUUAAUUUCUUCUUCAUUGUUUCAUAUGCAAAUUUUUCCAUUCACUUCUAUAAGCAGUAAUAACAAACGACUACUGCUACUCACUGUCACUUGGUUGUUUAUAUAAAGUACAGUAUCUUUAAUCCUUCCAAACCCUACAAAAUAGGAACUGUUAUCCAGAUUAGAUAAAUGAUAACACUGGGGGUUGGAAAGAUUCAUUAACUUCCUUUCUACCAUGCAGUGAAACAAUUGGUUAGGUUUAAGAUCUCAUCCCUGUUUUAUCUGAGUCCUUUCUAACUCACUGAACUAUCUCACAUCAAGCAACCUAGCUGACUCAUCAUCUAAUGCCUGUAGCACCAGCUUUUCCCAAUCUCUUUGUUUUGAUCUCACUUUGGUUUCUCUUCUGCUUCAUCCUCAUCUAGCCCUGUGUGCAACCCUGAAUCUCCAAUUCAACCAACAUCUCUAUUCUCAGUUCUUGUGUUACAUAAAAUUACCUCACCAGGAAUUCUACUUUAUCUUGGCCUAUGUGGGGAAAAAAUCUUGGUUUGACUGUGAAGCUGGAAUUAUAGAGUGGAUCCUGCAUGCAACAUAAUUUUUUAUGAAGUAAAUUCCUGUAUUCUUUUAAAAGCCUUUCUAUGAGACAAUGUGGCUUUACAUAAGCAAUUUAGCUCUACAUAAGCAAGCACAAAGAAGAGCUUCGUUCAUUGGGAUAGCUAUUUGUUUCUACCAUCCUUUUAUUGAGAUGAAGUUGUAGUUGUAUGCCACCCGUCUUUUUCAAUGCACUCUCAAAUCAGCAUUAGAAAUUGAAAACAAUGGGAGCCAAACAGUCGAGGAAAUUGAAGAUCACACGUCCAAGUUACUGAACAUAGAAAAGCCUGUUCACUGUCCCAUUAAAUUUAGUUUUCCCAUGAAUAAAUAUUCUGAUUAAGCUUCAACCUUUCAAGCCAUUUUGCUUUCAUUUUUUUGAAUUACAAAAUGUUUUCAUUUGAGUACAUACUCUUAAGUAUAAAUUAAGAUGUAUUAUAUAGCAUUAAACUAAUUUAACAUAAAUUUUAAUUAUUUUGAAGUUCAUUUUUAAAAAUAAAAGUGUAAUAGUCACAAAAAAAUUUUAAGAGACUAUUGCUAGCCCACCAAAAGAACAGUGUUCAUUAGAACAUCAUUUCUCUGAUAUAAUUUUUUUGUUUAAAAUUUUUUAAAUUUUUAUAAAUAAUGAAAUGUGGGGAUAAGAAUGUUCUAAUGUUUUGAAACCUGACAUUUUAUAGUCAGUAAGCUCCAUGAGGCCUGGCAUUUCUAACUGUUUUAUUAGCACCUAUGAUUUCAGCUCGUAGAAUAUUGCUUAACACAUACAAGGAAUUUAAAUAUUAUUUGUGAAUGUAAUAAUUGCUAUCCUUGCAAAUGGAAAAUGGAACAAUUCUCAUAUCGUUAAGUAAUCUAAUACAGACUUGCCUUAGUAAGGUUCUACUUCUCAAUAACAACAAAUCACAAUGUCUGAUAGAUGACUGGACUUUUGAAUUUUUAAUUGCAGCUUGUUAUCCAAUUAAUUAUUUUCCAUUUGAGAAUACCUUUCUUCAAAAGUAUAUUAUUUCAUGCCAGAUCUGUUGUGACUUAGGCUAUGAUCCUGUCAGCUGUCAGCUAGGCUAUCUUGCAUGAUCCAUGGCCCAGAACAGUCAGAAAAGGGUCCAAAGAAUCAGCCCUGCAGAAUGGGACACAUGUAAACUUAGUCUCCCACAUACCCACAAAAGAUGUCUUUUGGACAGCUCAUUUUAUAACUACUGCUAAACUAGGGUUUUAUUACUCAAACCAAUAGUUCGACUAAAAAAGGAAGGAAUGUGAGUUCACUAUUAACUGGAAUUGGUCAUUGCCACUGCCUUUUCAGAGAAAAACCAAGAGUUCCAAAGGGACUGGAAAUUCUUUUUUUAAAGAAGGAAGGGUUGUCGUUUUGUUUGUUUGUAUGUUUUUUGCUUUGCAACAUCUCUUGUAUGUUAUGGGAACAUAGUUGAACAGAGGAGAGUGCCAGAGGCAAGAUUUUACAUAAAAAUCUUUGCUUUUACCUCCCACUGCCACACUUGCUGUGUGGAGUUUUAAGAAUCUAAUCUGGUUUUCUUACUAUUACAGAAUUACAUUAUCAACUAAGUUAAAAAGUAGAUUAUCUAUGUGAAAUGAGAGCUGAAUUAAGGAUUUCAGGCUACUACAUUAGAGUUUCUCAAAAAUGCAAUGUUUUUCUGGUAUUUACUUUAUUCCUUAAGAGAAAUUGUUAAUAUCCUUCAGGAUUGCCAGUGAUGGUGUUUAGUCUUUGUAUCACUGCUACUUUCAAUAUCACCAUCAUUUAACAUUUCAAAAGAAACAGUUCUUUUAAAAAGAUAAGUUUAAAAAUAGAAAUCUUAAAUACAACUAUAUACAUUGUUUAAAACACCAUAGAAUUUAUUUGUUAGAUACUUGCUGGAAAAUUAUAUUGAUAUUCCACUGACACAGAUAUCCUUUGAUUUGCCUGAGACAUAGCCAACAGUGCCUUGUAGGCACACAAAUAUAUUCCAGGUAAUUUAAAACAUGUACAUGUUUGUGUGUAUAUGUGUGAGAUGUAUAGUGGUAUAUGCAUGUGUGUGUAUAUUUACCUUCUACAUAAAAACAUAAAAGCAGACAUAAUUGGUCCCCUAAGUGGCCAAGUUUGGUAGGUACAUUAGCAAAUUUUGAGAUUUUGUCUUUGAAAAGUUAUUUUGAGGCAAUUUGAGCUUUAUCCAUGAUUUUUAUUUGUAGAACAUAUUAAAAAACAACAUGAUUGAAAGACUUUUUAAGGAACUGACAUCCUUUCUCUAAGAGGAAGACAUUCUACAUGUAGGUUUUAAUAGUUUACUACAAGGAAACCUUGUAAACUGCUGAUUGGGAACUCUAAGGGCUUGUCUUUAACCUUAGCACAGCAGAGCUUGAAGCUGUAGUCUAGGAUGUGGAAAUGACUCCUACAUGUUGCCUCAGAAUGAAAGAUGGCCUAAUAUCAAAGUCAGUGAUGGGGUGUUGUGUAAACUUCACAAAAUUGGAUUUUGGUCAAUUGUGUCCACGGUCAGGGAAGUCUUCAUAUCAAAGACCAUCUGUGUAUAUGUUGCAUGACUGUUGAUUGUCUCAUGAGUGUUUGUCUUUUAUGUAUGAUUAAUACACAAAAUGUUUUUCUUUUCUUUCCUUUUCCCUUUUUGUAGAAAUUAUUGAACCUACUACCUCUAGUCCUGUCACAAGUCCAGGGAGCCAGGAAGCCCAAACAGAGUGGGCCACCUAAAUCAGGUGGGAUGCAUCUCCCGUCUCUGCCAUAGUCCCACUCCAUGAAGGCACAGAGAUCCUGGACAAGCCCCCAGAUUUGUGAGAAACACAUUUUCACCCAUCCAAAUCCAAAGAAUGGACUCAGAGACAUGAAAAACAGCAGAAAUGGGACUUUUAAUGGCGGUCUUGCAAGAUCAGGUGUCUAGUAGGCAGGCAUACCUGAGGCAGUUACAGCAGGUAAUUUAUCUCCUCGCAUGCAAGUCCCUCCCCUAGUUCCUCACUGGUCCAGUACUAUCGGGUUACAAUCUUCCUGGACGUCACCUAAGUUUCAUUAUCUCCCUCAUAAGGUUAUACCCAGGUCCCCUUCCUUGCAUGUUUCAAUUUCCCAAUAAUGAAACUUUCUUCCCUUUUAUGGGCUGACCCCUCCUCUACAUUCUGUUCGCUUAUUGUGAUCUUCUGGGUUCAUGAGCCAUGCAGUUUGUUACAUUUUGCCGGCUGGCUGCUGGUACUUAGAUUUAUUAUGCUUUGAAAAUGGACCAUUUAAAAUGUUUUUCUUACAUGACCAAAUAACCAUUGGGCACAUCUAGUUAUAUAUUCAUGUUUCCAAUUAUCUGAAGUUUAAGUAGAAUCAAUUUUAUUUCCUCCUUGUUUAUUUCAAUGUAUUUUGCCUUCAGAAAGUUGGACAAAAAAGUCAAUAGAGUUCCAUACACACAGUAAGAUAUUUAUCAAUGUUUAACUUUUGAAUAUAUAAGUAAUAUGCUUUAUUUCAACAAAUAAUUUUGUGCAAUUUAUAAUACUGUAAUAAACUCUAUUGAGGGCAAACAUAUAAAAGAGCUUUACAUAUAUUUUAUUCUUCUUAUCUGUAGUUAUGCUGCAUGAAAUUUCUUAUUGCUUAUAAUUUUAAGAACAUUGUUUUUUCACUCUCACAUUAUUGCAGAUUUUGGCAUUCUUUGACAUGUCACCAGUGAGUGAACAUACUUGUAUCAACAUAGAAUCAUUGAUAUCUUUAAUUUGUAGAGGGCCCAUAGAAAUCUGCUAUUCUUUAUUUUACAGAUAGGUAAACUAAAAUUUGCUGCCUCUCAAUGACUUUUCUAGGGUCAUGCAGCUCUUGGUAGCAGUCAGGUUACAGAACUAGGUUUCACAUUUUCCAUUUCAGGGUAAAUCCAUUUUAUAACAAAGAAAAUGAUAUUUGGGCCUAUCAUCAAUAUUUCAAACUGUGGAAUCUUUCACACCCCAAAUUGCAUUUUAAAAUUAUGUUAAAAAUAUUACUUCAUAAUAAGAUUUAAAGUUCAUUGCAUUCAUUGAAUCACAAUUAAUGCAUAACAAAUAAUGCAUUAGUUUUAAAGAAAAGAUCCCAUCAUUUAGAAAUAUAAAUCAAUUGUGUAUAUAUGCCAAGUUAUUAAAAAGUUAUGUCUUUAUCAGAUAUCAACUUAUUGUUAAAUGUCUAACGGAAAUGUUUAUGUGUACACACAUGCCUGCACAUUUGUGUAUACAAUAAAUAGAUACAUUGACAAUUUGAUAUUCAUUCUUUGGUAUUAUUUGCAUAUUAACGUCAAUCUUAUUGUGAAAUAAGAAAAAACCUGUGACAAUUUUAAAGACCACAUAAGAAAGUUACAAUACAAUGUUUCAAAUUAGCAUGUUUAAACAUACAGUUGGCUCUCUGUCUCUGUGGGUUCUGCAUCCGUGGAUUCAAUCAACCCCAGAUAAAAAAUUUUCAAAAAAUAAAAAAUAAUAAUACACAAAUUAUAAUAAUACAAAUAAAACAUGUAGUGUAACAACUAUUUAAAGAACAUUUACAUUUUAUUAGAUAUUAUAAACAAUCUCGAUAUGAUUAAAAGUAUAUGGUAGGCUAUGCAUUGGUUAUAUUCAUAUACUACACCAUUUUACAUAAGGGACUUGAGCAUUCAUAGAUUUUUGUUAUUACCAAGGGUCCUCAAUCCAAUCCUCCACAGAUGCCGAGGGACAACUGUACUAUUAUCAUUACAAACAUUAAGUGCUUUUGAGGAUAAAGUGGCACUUCAUCUGAUGUUUAUAAGUUCAAAAAGGUUUACACAGGCAAAGAAGAUCAUUUAUGUAAUGUGAGGAAAUUGAUUAAUUCCAAAAAUCAAGAUAUUACACUUAUCCAAAACUGAAUUUUCACUUUUUAAAUCUUGUUAAAUAAUAAAAACUAGAGUCCUGGUGGAAAGUUCAGACUAAGAUAAAAUAAAGAAAGUGAUUAUUGUCCUUUUUUCAUUUAGAUGACUCUAUAGGUCAUUAAUUUGGCCAUACAUAGCUUUAUUCAUUCUGAUCCUGACCUGACCCUCAUAACCAGAAAAAGCUUAUUUAAAUGAAGCAGUCAUUGACAAUAAUAUAUCCAACAUAAUUGUAACAUAAUUAGCUUAUGACGUGGUGAGUUAAACAAAACUUAACUAUAGAUAAUUUUCUUGAGGUAUAUUUGUAUAUACAGGAGAGAGAUCAUAAAGAAACUGUACAAACUAAUUAUUUUAGUGUUACAUUUGAUUUUUUGAAUUCAUAAAAUACCCUCCAUUCAAUAAGCCUUUUAAUUUGUGUUUCUAAAAUUGAAUUUUAAUUCAAUAAAGAGAAGAACAUCACACAUUAUUUUGAUGGCUAUGAUUGGCAGUUCGAUAAGACUCAGUGUUGAGGUAAGAGCAGGUUAAACAGUUAUUGGCCUAUACAUUGAUUACAUUUAUUAUGGUGAAAUAUUUAAAUUCAGGUGUUUCAAUAAAAUGUGGUACACAUUUUAUUUUGUGGGUGAAUUAUUUUUCUAUCACCAGUAGGUUGCACUAGAUCACGAAUGACAAACGGGUCUCAUUCUCCCUGCCUAGUCUUAUUGAUUGGUAGUGAACAUCUGGUGCACAGGUUAAGAAGGAUCAUGUGGCUGUGUCAGGGCUCAGGAAGAAAUGAUACUGGAAUAAGGUUAUAAUGUUUCUAUCCUCAGGAUUAUAAGCAAUCAUGAGGUCAGGAACUUUGUGUUCUUUGUCACAUUUUGAGUGCCUAUAAUAAUUCCCAGCAUAUGUUAAACACAAAGAUAUAUAUAAUAAUAUAUAUAUGACAUGUACAAUUAUAUAUACAUGUUAUAUAUAACAUGUAUAUUUAUAUAUAAUUAUGUGCAAUAUAUACAUAUGUGCAAGGAAAAGAGGAAGAAGAAUGGCAAAACACGUGGUACAUCUUGGCCUUCUCUGCACUAGGUAAUUGUAAACUACCAAGAUCUGUAAGUCACAAUCCUCAAGCAUGUGUUGAAAUGUAACCUGGUCCAUUUUAAAAAAGAAAUUUCAGAAUGUAAAACAUAAAAACUUGCUUAUACACAUGGAAAGAUAUAAUGAGUCCAACAAAUCCCAACAAGAGGCCUGAUUUUUAGAAGACCCUUCUGUUAGACACCUAAUGAGAGUUCAUUUAGUCACAGGGAAAAUUAUAAACUCUUGCUGAAAACUAACGUUACUUAAAUUUUUUUAAAAAGAGAGAAAACAAAGAAAGUUGAAUUCUGAAUUUUUGUCAAGGUCUUUUUAUGUAUCUUGCUGCCUCAGAAGUCAGUAGUCAGCAGAGGAUUUCUCACUGGUAGGAAAUGGAUUUGCCUUUGAAGCGACUUUGGAUAAAACUGGUUGCCUCCAAGAGAUGAAAAUGAUGGAAGCCAAGAGACCUGGCAGGCAGCUGGGUACUGGGCAGCCCUACAACUAUCUCUACUGAAUAUAUUCCCUAUAGUGAAGUAGUGACCUUCAGGUCUCCUAUGAUUAAGGCAAAUGAUCUUAUGAGUGGUCAUGAGUAUGCACAUUGAUUGGGCUUGGCAGAUUGCAUAAUCAACUGCAAAUUGGCUCUUGGAAACGACUGGCUAUAUCCAGUGAGCAGAAGAAAUGGAAGCAAGGGGAUCUGGCAGACAGCAAGUAGCCAUAGCAGCUGUAUGAGUUACAUUCCCAUAACUUAAUGAUGAGGAGAGCCAAGCCUGGACCUUUCAUAGCUGUGCUUUUCAUUUCUGAUAUUUGGAGGAAUUGCAGGAUGGAGCUGCACACCCGAGCAAUUUACCCUCAGGGUAGCAGUAAAGCAGAGUGAAAAAGUCUUACUUGUAUUGCUACACAUCUUGAAGCAUGAUAUGCGCAUCCCUUUUCUUUAUAUCCAGAAGAAAAGCACAAUAUCUGCUCUACUGAUAAUUGCAAACCAGGCUUCUCUGAUAAAAGGAUAUUAAUUUCCACUUCAUAGAUCAAUAGGCCUUGGGAAGUCAACUAGUCCAUCACACUAUCUUACUACAGAAUCCUUCCCAAACCAGAAGGCAGUGUGUAAAAGAGAUAUAGGCAUGUUUUACAAUAUUAUAAUUUAAUGCUAUAAAAUUAAUCUGAAUACAUGCAGCGAUGAAUUGCUAAACCAUUCCAAGAAAAGAGUCUACUAGAUGACCACUACCUUUCAACUAUUAGAUGAGCUCAUAUUUUCUUGUUUGUAUAUUUUAUUAGACAGAAGAGGCUCAGAGUUACAAAAAAAGUUCCAAUUCAGCAAGUAUUAAUGAACUCAUGUUGAGUUUUUAGUGAUACGCAACAGCCUGUGGAAGCUAUUAGCUCCUAAGUUUUAUUUCAGCAUAUAUUUGUUUCUGCAAUGGAAAAAGCUAAAUGAUGUCUUUUAAGAAUAUAAUUUAGCAUUCUACCCUGACUAAAACAUAGAAGAUACAUAGUUUUGCAACCUGUUUUGAAUAAAACAGAUAUCAAUAAAUGGAAAGGGAAGUUCUAAUCAGAAAACACAAGUGUUAGGUUUUAUUUUACCUGAAAUAUUUGUUUGAUCUAUGUCUCAUCAUCUUUUCAUAUGCUGCAUAUGUUUACAACUGCAGCAUAUUAAAUAAACCUUUUAAGUUGUGUUUCUAAAAUUGAAUUUUGCAACUGUGCAUUUUUUCAUCAUUCUUUCCAUUUAGCUUCUCAAAAACUGUAGAUUAUAUGCUGAAAACACACACGAUGAGUUCGUAAACCAUCACAAUUUAGAAAAACAACGUACCAAUUCUAUCCUGGGAAUCAAUUUUCUUGGAAAUAAUUUAUUCAUCUGAUCUUAUAAAAGAGAUCAAUAACCCUGUUUCAAAAAGUUCCUUAAAUCGUCUUAGAAAAAAGCAUAUUUGAAAAAAAAAACCUAUGGAAUUAUAGUAAAGGCUUCUGUUUAAAAGAGAAAUACAUGUUUUAAGCAAUUUAGAAUGAAUGCUGAUAUUUUUAUCUAUAUUUAUGAUAUACGCACAUAUGUGGUAUAAUUUAAAAAGACUAUUUGAACACAGGAAAUUGUAAAGAUUGUGUGCAUUGCUUACAGUAUGACUGCAUCUCUUUUAAUCAGAAAAGGUAGUUUCUCUUUUCUUAAAAAAUCAAGAAUAGAAACAAUGUCUACCAAUUGAUCAGCACUUACCCGUAUGUAAAAUACUAGCUGGCAUCACUUCAAAUAGAGAUGCAUUUUGUACUGGAAAUUUCAAUAUUAAUAAACUCGUGGCCCAAUUAUUUCUAGUAUACUGAAGAGGGAUAAAGUUAUGGAAAAUGGACACACCAUACUUUGCAUAUCUGAUUCAUAAAUGCUAAUGUUUCAAACAGAAAUCAGAUUAAGCACAUCAAAACCUAAAGCAUUAAUUUGAUUUAUCAAUUUUCCACUAGUGAAAAUGGAUGUUAAGAAAGUUGCAGGUGGCUUAACUAGCUACAAAGGGGUUUCAUGGAAUAUGAAGACUGCUUAAAAAGUAGAGAUUUACACAUUUAUCCCAUUGAUAGGUUAUCAUAGAACUCUAGCAGGAGGAUCAUGAAUUCUUGCCUCGUCACUGAUCUAUUGCACAUCCCCCUGGCUCAGCCAGGCUCUGUAGUGUGAUUUUAGCAGAACAAGAGAUAAUCAAACAUCCUGUUUUUAUAGAAUUGUCCCAAUUUAGGGUCCUUCAGGGCCCUCCAGGAUGCCUAUUUGAGAUGUUUUUCUUUCUGAAAAGCAUUAUCUAGGGAUAAAAAAAAAAGAACGUAAUCUGUCAUAAUCUUAGCCCAAGGAAAUAUGAAUCCUGGUCUCCUUACAGUUCUCAGAGAAGUAAAAAUAAAACCAAAAGGCAAGAUGUUUUCCACAAGGAAAGAAUAUCAAACUUCUGGCCAAUGACUACCUUCCUUCUUUCUAUCCCCUUUUCUACCACCUGCUGCUGUACUCAAGCCAAGAAUCAACGCAUCACCAUUUCUGAUUUCAGAACUUUUCUGAGUUCCUAUGAAUAUCUUUCUCCAAUUCCUUCUAGUUCUGGAAGCCAAUGUGAGCCCAUUUCUGCCAUUUUAAUUCCUCUAUUCCUUCUGAUUUCUUAUUUCCUGCUUCCAUAUUGUUGUACUUAUGUGCUGUUCAUGACCACUCUUUCUGUUUUCUCUCUGUCUAUUUAGAGUAUCUCACAUCACUCAGAAUUAUCCAUUUAUGUUAAACUUGACAGGGUCACCACACUGACUGUUGGCAUCUUUCAUGCAAAAAAGAAAUAGGAAAAAUAUAUAAUUAAAAAGAAAACUACCAGUCACAGGCAGAGCAUAUAGACGGUUUUUCUCACAUAAAAUUAUAAAAAGUGGGAAAGGCAGAUACCUAUUCCCAAGGUAUGAAGCCUCUGAAAUAAACUUCUAUCAAAAAAAAAAAAA